AGAGCGAACGCUGGCGGCAUGCUUAACACAUGCAAGUCGCACGGGCAGGGCAACCUGUCAGUGGCGGACGGGUGAGUAACGCGUAGGUAUCUAUCCUUGGGUGGGGGACAACUGUGGGAAACUACAGCUAAUACCGCAUAAUAACUGAGGUUUAAAGGCGCAAGUCGCCUGGGGAGGAGCCUGCGUACGAUUAGCUAGUUGGUGGGGUAAAGGCCUACCAAGGCGACGAUCGUUAGCUGGUCUGAGAGGAUGAUCAGCCACAUUGGGACUGAGACACGGCCCAAACUCCUACGGGAGGCAGCAGUGGGGAAUAUUGGACAAUGGGCGAAAGCCUGAUCCAGCAAUGCCGCGUGUGUGAAGAAGGUCUUCGGAUUGUAAAGCACUUUCGACGGGACGAUGAUGACGGUACCCGUAGAAGAAGCCCCGGCUAACUUCGUGCCAGCAGCCGC
rnacentral:rRNA from 1 species